rnacentral:misc_RNA from 1 species
GAAAUGCGAUACUUGGUGUGAAUUGCAGAAUCCCGUGAACCAUCGAGUCUUUGAACGCAAGUUGCGCCCGAAGCCACUAGGCCGAGGGCACGCCUGCCUGGGCGUCACACGCCGUUGCCCCCCCCCAUCUACUCCUUCGGGAUUGCGGGGGGGCGGAUGAUGGCCUCCCGUGCGCCUCGCCGCGCGGUUGGCAUAAAUACCAAGUCCUCGGCGACGCACGCCACGACAAUCGGUGGUUGCGAAACCUCGGUUGCCCGUCGUGUGCGUUCGUCGCGCAUCGAGGGCUCGAAAAAAAUGCUCGGCUCCGGCUCGGCUUUCAACGCGACCCCAGGUCAGGCGGGGUUACCCGCUGAAUUUAA